GACGAACGCUGGCGGCGUGCUUAACACCUGCAAGUCGAACGAAGUGGCGAACGGGUGAGUAAUACGUGGGUAACCUGCCCUCCUUUUUGGGAUAAGCAUUGGAAACGGUGUCUAAUACAGAAUAAAGGGGGAUGGGCUCGCGGCGUAUCAGCUUGUUGGUGGGGUGAUGGCCUACCAAGGCGGUGACGGGUAGCCGGCCGUAGAGGGUGACCGGCCACAUUGAGCUUAAUGUAUGUCCCAUACUCCUACGGGAGGGAGCAGUGGGGGAUGUUGCACAAUGGACGAAAGCCUGAUGCAGGUACGCCGCGUGGGGGAAGAAGGCCUUCGGGUUGGAAAGGUCUUUUGUUAGGAAAACGGUACCUAAAUAAUAAGCACCGGCUAACUACGUGCCAGCCGCCGCGGUAAUAC
rnacentral:rRNA from 1 species